rnacentral:rRNA from 1 species
AAGUGGUAGGAGAGCGUUCUAUUUGCGUCGAAGGUAUACCGGUAAGGAGUGCUGGAGCGAAUAGAAGUGAGCAUGCAGGCAUGAGUAGCGAUAAUUAAUGUGAGAAUCAUUAACGCCGUAAACCCAAGGUUUCCUACGCGAUGCUCGUCAUCGUAGGGUUAGUCGGGUCCUAAGUCGAGUCCGAAAGGGGUAGACGAUGGCAAAUUGGUUAAUAUUCCAAUACCAACAUUAGUGUGCGAUGGAAGGACGCUUAGGGCUAAGGGGGCUAGCGGAUGGAAGUGCUAGUCUAAGGUCGUAGGAGGUUAUACAGGCAAAUCCGUAUAACAAUACUCCGAGAACUGAAAGGCUUUUUGAAGUCUUCGGAUGGAUAGAAGAACCCCUGAUGCCGUCGAGCCAAGAAAAGUUUCUAAGUUUAGCUAAUGUUGCCCGUACCGUAAACCGACACAGGUGGGUGGGAUGAGUAUUCUAAGGCGCGUGGAAGAACUCUCUUUAAGGAACUCUGCAAAAUAGCACCGUAUCUUC